UAUUCAGAAUCUCAGACUCCAUUUCUUCAUCAACACGACCCUUUCUCUCCUUUUCUCGCGCUCUCUCUGCCAUUGCUCAGGUGAAAUUGAAUUGCGAAACAAGAGCUUGGAUUGGUGUUUGUCCAUGGCAUCAUGAAUUGUAGCGCAAUUGGUUCUUGUUUUGAAUCUUAACUUUCACCUUUUAGAUUAAGGAUAAGAAUGGAUAGUAACAAAGAUGAGGCUUUAAGAUGCAUAGGUAUUGCCAAGGAGGCAAUUGUGUCGGGCAAUAAGCAGAGAGCGCUUAAAUUUAUUGGAAUUGCACGCCGCCUUAAUAGUGAACUAGAUGUCAAAGAUCUUUUGGCUGCUUGUGAAAAUCUUGAUGCCUCAACUCCUGAUCACCCUAGUGAAGUUGGCGAUGUUUCGAGUGAGAAACAUGUCGAUGGUCGUGUCGAGUCAGAUGAGGUUUCUGAUGGGGAGAGGAGUUAUUCUGAAGAACACGUGCAUUUGGUUACACAUUAAGAGCAAGAAGGACUAUUAUGCCAUUUUUGGUCUAGAGAAGGGUUGUUCAGUUGAGGAGAUAAGAAAGGCAUAGCGGAAGCUUUCGUUGAAAGUUCAUCCGGACAAAAACAAGGCUCCUGGUUCUGAAGAGGCAUUUAAGAAAGUAUCCAAGGCAUUUAAGUGUUUGAGUGAUGAUGAUUCAAGGAGCCGGUAUGAUGAGACGGGUUUGGUUGAAGAAUUUGAGUUUGAUCAGCAGUAUAAUCUUAGACGUCGGAGGAAAAUGUAGCAUGAAUAUUUUGAAAAUGAUUUUGAUGAUGAAGAGAUUAUAAGGGCAUUUUUUGGUCAGCGUGAAAUGUUUAGGACAGCUUAUGUCUACAGGACAAGGACCAAUGUCCGUCAGCCGAGAGAGGAUUUAGGUUCCUCUGGGUCUAACUUAAUUCUCCUCCUUCAAUUGUUACCAUUUUUUAUCAUUUUCUUACUUGCUUAUCUUCCUUUCUCGGAGCCUGAAUAUUCUUUGCAGAAAAACUACUCUUAUCAGUUUGAGAAGGUGACAGAUAAAUAUGGGGUAGAAUUUUUCGUUAAAUCGGCAGAAUUUGAUAAGAAUUAUCCUCUUGGUAGUCCUGCUCGAGAGAAAGUUGAAGACCAUGUUAUUAAAGAUUACAAAAAUAGGCUUGAACGUUACUGUGAUAUAGAACUCCAGAGGCGACAAUGGAACAGGAACUACCCAACACCUCACUGUGACUGGCUUCAAAAUUUUGGAGUAGCUUGAGACAUGUCGUGUAUAACCUGACCUAAUCUUGUGUAUAACGAGACUGUGCUUGGGUAGAUAAAGGAAGAAACAAAGCUUCAUUGAAGAUGUAUGGCCGGCCAUUUUUUAUCUCCUGUUAUCGAUGAUAGUUCACUUGACAGCAUGCCAUAAUGCGAUUGAGACAGACGGACCACCAGCAUCUAAGUCACACUUACUCAUUUGGAAUUAGUCCUUCUUGCAAUAGCUCGGAUACAUUCCCUACUAAACACCUCCUCAACCUGCUAAAAGCAGCAAGUAUCCAUAGGAAACUCAAGGGAUGCAAUAUAUAAUCAACAUAAGCUUCACAUUCAGUUCCGCGAUUGGAACAAUAUACACAGAUCGUCAUGCAUAUUUCAGGCCAUUGUGCUGUAGGGCGUCACGGGAGAAAAAGGUGUCUUAGUGUGAAUGAAGUACUGUGUCUUAGAAAUUUUUCUUAUGUGUCUGAUUUAUCAAUGCUUAAGGAAUCAUAUGCCAUUUCUUAAGAAAUUCUUUUUGUGAUGUUCCUAUUACAUCGAUGAAAUAUUAGUAAUCUUGUUAAAAAAAGGCAAAGACUUUAGUCACAAGCCAAUUUGACCUUUUUUUUGUUACACUCUGGAAAUAUCUAUGUUCUAGUGUAUACUAAAAGAAGAUAUACGA